UACGGGGGGGGCAAGCGUUGUUCGGAAUUACUGGGCGUAAAGGGCUCGUAGGUGGCCAACUAAGUCAGACGUGAAAUCCCUCAGCUUAACUGGGGAACUGCGUCUGAUACUGGAUGGCUUGAGUUUGGGAGAGGGAUGCGGAAUUCCAGGUGUAGCGGUGAAAUGCGUAGAUAUCUGGAGGAACACCGGUGGCGAAAGCGCUCUGCUAGGCCGCAACUGACACUGAGGGACGAAAGCUAGGGGAGCGAAUGGG
rnacentral:rRNA from 1 species